rnacentral:rRNA from 1 species
GAUGAACGCUGGCGGCGUGCCUAAUACAUCCAAGUCGAGCGAAGCGGGGACGGGUGAGUAACACGUGGAUAACCUCCUAUCCGACGGGGAUAAUAUCGGGAAACGGGCGCUAAACCGGAUACUUAUAAAUGGAUCAGCGCUGCAUAAUCUAGUUAGAAAGCUAACGGCUUACCAAGGCAACGAUGCAUAGCCGACCUGAGAGGGUGAUCGGCCACACGGGAACUGAUACACGGUCCAGACUCCUACGGGAGGCAGCAGUAGGGAAUCUUCCGCAAUGGGCGAAAGCCUGACGGAGCAACGCCGCGUGAGUGAUGAAGGUCUUCGGAUCGUAAAGCUCUGUUAGUAGGGAAGCGGUACCUAAUCAGAAAGCCACGGCUAACUACGUGCCAGCAGCCGCGGUAAUAC